GCUCUACAUGUUUCAAGGAGGGUUCUAUGCUUUCUUUCAACAACACCAUUCUGUUGAGGAGAAUGAGGGCAGGUGGUCUGAAGAAUAAUCCCUUGGCUACUAAAGAAAGAAAUACCCUCAAUGCUAGACCCCAAUUCUAAAACAUUGUCACUUCUAACAGUUUGAACCACGGCACUAAAUUGGGUUUUAACCAAACAUAGGAAUGACUUAAGCAAAGAAAAAGCAUUGAUUUUAGAUCCCAUUAAGUAUGUCCAGGUAGCGCUAGAGAAAUCAUCAACAAUUGUAAGGAAAUAUCUACAACCAGAAGAAAUAGGAGUAUGAUAAGGCCCCCAAGUAUCCACAUGAAUUAGUUGAAAAGGUCUAGAGGUGCUUAUAGAACUAUCAGGAAAGGGGAGUCUAGUCUGUUUUGCCAUGGGACAAACAGAAAAGGGGAAAGGUUGUUUAGAAGCAAAUGGAGAAGGCAAACCAGAAAUGUGUCUCGUAUUUGUAAAAGAAGUAUGGGCAAGUCUUAAAUGCCAAAUGUAAUUCAUGUCAGUUGUAACAAUAUUAUUACAGAUGGAACUAUGUACAUUUGAGGGCAAGGUAACAGCCUUGUUAUCAGACAAAAUGUCAUCAUAUGGAACUAUGUACAUUUGAGGGCAAGCUAACAGUCUUGUUAUCAGACAAAAUGCCAUCAUUACAAGAAGCAGACACAGAACAUACAGAAGUAGAUGAACAAUUAAUGGAAGAAGAAGGGGAAGGUAGAACCCAAGCCAGUUUAUAUAAGCCAGCAUCUUCUCUACCAAGAUCCAGAGGCCUCCUCAGAGAAGGGUCCUGUAUCAAGUGGAGGAAGCAAGAAUUUUCAGUGAACAAAACUACACAAUGCAACUGUUUCACUAACUGUGGACAGAAAUCAAGUUGUGUUUAAAGGAAAGAACCAGCAACACAUUGUGAAGUGUAAUGAAUGGAGUUAGUGCAAAACAACCUGUGCAUGUCACUUUCACUUUAUAACCAUUUGGAAGAGUCACAAGAUAGGGCACAGGUAAAGGUGUGAUGUUAGAGAGUAAAUGUUUAUCAUGUGUCAUAUGAUUAGAAACACAUGAAUCUAUGAUCCAGGUGACAGAAUUAAUGUGGGUAAGCAUGCAAAGUUUGGAAUCAGAAAUGGGGCUCUCAGUUAGCAUAGUACCAGCAAAGUUAGCAGCAUACAUGGGAGGAGGAGUCUGAGCAGUGGAGUCCCCUAACUGGGUCUGUUGUAAUAAGCUCAUCAAUUGAUCAUAAUGUUGUUUGCUCAACCCUGGUAUCACAGAACUCUGGCCAUCUAUGUUUAUACCAGAUUGAUGGCUUUGAGAAGGAUUCCCUUGGGGAACAGACACAUGUCCUUCAGAAGGAGGAAAAUCCACACCAGCAGUAAGAUGAGCAGCAACAGUUCUCCUCCCCUUGUUAAAUGUUGUACUUUGUGGAUACCCAUGAAUCUUGAAA
rnacentral:lncRNA from 1 species